GGUUGAAGUCCUAUGUGCUUGGAGAGAUACCAUCGCUGAAGGAUCGAAUUACUGUAGUACGCCAACUUUGGGAUCUUACAUGGGAAGUCCUGUGCUCUCACGAUGGGGCAUGUCCUUUGGAGAAAGCAGGUAAAUAUUGUCAUUUUGUUCAAUGUUUGGAGAGAACUUCUACACAGCUUGCAUACAAGGUUCUUUCUUAAUUCAUAUGUUGUAUUAUCUUUUGAAAGAUUUAUCUAGUUACCAUAUUAUUUGAACCUAAGCAGUUAGUAUUGGCAUUAGAGGCAGACAUCAAAUUGUUGGACAUAUCCAAUUGCUAGAUACUUGUACAAGGGGAACCUCAUGGGACCAGAGUCUGCAGGAGGUUAAUAUAAUAAUUCCAGUGCCUGCUAGAACUAAGUCAAGGGAUAUUGUUUAUGAGGCAAAGAAGAACAGUGUGAAGUUUGGACUGGACUGAAGGGUCGGUCUCUUAUAAUUGAUCAAAAAAUACUCUUAUCAAGUGCAGGGAAGAAAACGGUGGAGUACACAGUGCCAUUAGCAGAGAAGACUAAAGACAUGGCCAUGUUUGCAGGUAAGACCACUCUGCAUUAUGUUGGUCAUGUUGCGGUGGAUUUGAAGGACAAGGCCACUGUGGUAGGUCGGACUGCAGCACACUACGCAACUGAGGCAGCAGUGGAGGGAACCAAAGCAGCUGCAAGGUUGGAGCUCAAAUGCAC